rnacentral:rRNA from 1 species
GACGAACGCUGGCGGCGUGCUUAACACAUGCAAGUCGAACGAAAAGGCCCUGCUUUUUUGCGCUGCUCGGGGUGCGAACGGGUGACUUACCCGUGAGUAACCUAUCCCUCACUUUGGGAUAACCUCAGGAAACUGGGGCUAAUACCGCCUAGGAUCUCUUGCCGCAUGGUGGGCGUUGGUAAGUUUCGGUGGUUGGGGAUGGAAUCGCGGCUUAUCAGCUUGUUGGUGGGGUAGUGGCUUACCAAGGCUUUGACGGGUAGCCGGCCUGCGAGGGGAACCGGCCCAAUCGGGACUGAGAUACGACACAGACUCGUACGGGAGGGAGGGGUGGGGUAGAUUACAUAAUGGGCGGAAGGCUGGUGUGACAACGCAGUGUGCGGGAUGUGGGGCAUCGGGUUGUAUACCGAUUCCGCCUGACACGAGGCGUGAGUGACGGUACCGGGUGAAGAAGCACCGGCUAACUACGUG